GUUUAGAGAGCACAAUAUACCUAUUGAAGCAAGACAAUCAUGCAUUAAGAAAAGUUUUAACAAAAUUAUGAAUGUCCUUAUCUUAUCUUAUCUAUUCUACAACGUUUUAUUACAUGGUUCAAUGAUUUAACCCCAAUGUUGAAUAUGAUAUUCUGGUUUACUAAAUCAGACUAUCCGAUAAUGCAUCAAUAUAUCUGAUGAAUUUACUUAAGUCAUGUGCAUACAUAUAUCCGAUGCUUCAAGCAUUAGUCAAUUUCUCUUCAAACAUUUUUUUGUCAUUUCUUCGUCAUCUUCGAUGAUGCACUUGUUCGCCUCCCAACAUCUACUCUUCUUUAAUCUUCUAUGCUCAUUUACAUAUAAUAUAAUUUUGAAUUCUUAACUCCAAACUAUUUUAUCAUUUUCUUCUUCUUAGUCUAUUCUCUCUUAUUAAUUAUA
rnacentral:lncRNA from 1 species